rnacentral:rRNA from 1 species
UACGAAGGGGGCUAGCGUUGUUCGGAAUUACUGGGCGUAAAGCGCGUGUAGGCGGCUAAGUAAGUCGGGCGUGAAAUCCCACGGCUCAACCGUGGAAGUGCACUCGAAACUGCAUAGCUAGAGUCCUGGAGAGGAAGGUGGAAUGCUUGGUGUAGAGGUGAAAUUCGUAGAUAUCAAGCGGAACACCGGUGGCGAAGGCGGCCUUCUGGACAGUGACUGACGCUGAGACGGCGAAAAGCGUGGGGAGCAAACAGGG